rnacentral:lncRNA from 1 species
UCUGUACUUUCACUAGCUAGUGAUUUCGCUUUUAAGUAAACGAGCGCCAUCUGCUGAAUAAAAUGAUAAAUAUUGUCGUAUGUUGGUCGGUGUUAUUUAUAGGCAUUCUUUGAUCACAGUUCUUUGACUGCAUUGGAUUAAUUGGCCAUGGAAGAUGGUGAAUCGAUGGAUUAUGGCUUUCAGAAGUUAAUGAAUGAGAUUUCUUUCCAGGUCCUCCCGGUAAGAGAGGAAAACGAGGAAGAAAAGGAGAAGUGGGAGAUCAAGGCCUUCCGGGACCAAUGGGACCUCCUGGUAAACCAGGCUUUCCAGGAGCAAUAGGUAUUGAUGGACCAAAAGGUGAUCCGGGUGAUAAAGGUAGCAAAGGGGACAAAGGAGAAAGUGGAAUUGAUCUCUUUACUCCAACAAAGGAUCUUGCUAAUUUGGGAAUACCUCUCUCACCGGGUGAUUUAGUCUUGGUUAAGGGAGAACAAGGGCCUGCUGGUCCACCAGGACCAGCUGGACCAGCUGGUCCUACUGGUCUUCCAGGAUUUGAUGGCAGAGUUGGUUUACCUGGUGAACCAG